AAUCCAUAGGUUAAUGAGGCGAACCGGGGGAACUGAAACAUCUAAGUACCCCGAGGAAAAGAAAUCAACCGAGAUUCCCCCAGUAGCGGCGAGCGAACGGGGAGGAGCCCAGAGCCUGAAUCAGCAUGUGUGUUAGUGGAAGCGUCUGGAAAGGCGCGCGAUACAGGGUGACAGCCCCGUACACAAAAGCGCAUGUGCUGUGAGCUCGAUGAGUAGGGCGGGACACGUGGUAUCCUGUCUGAAUAUGGGGGGACCAUCCUCCAAGGCUAAAUACUCCUGACUGACCGAUAGUGAACCAGUACCGUGAGGGAAAGGCGAAAAGAACCCCGGCGAGGGGAGUGAAAAAGAACCUGAAACCGUGUACGUACAAGCAGUGGGAGCCCCACCACCAAAGCAUUUGCUGUACCGCGUUGACGGAGCGAAGCGACGUCAAACCGAUAAAACAGCAGUGUAAAGUGAGCC
rnacentral:rRNA from 3 species